rnacentral:siRNA from 1 species
AGAGGCAAAAUAAAACACGCAUCA